GUGGGGAAUAUUGGACAAUGGGCGAAAGCCUGAUCCAGCCAUGCCGCGUGUGUGAAGAAGGUCUUCGGAUUGUAAAGCACUUUAAGUUGGGAGGAAGGGUUGUAGAUUAAUACUCUGCAAUUUUGACGUUACCGACAGAAUAAGCACCGGCUAACUUCGUGCCAGCAGCCGCGGUAAGACAGAGGAUGCAAGCGUUAUCCGGAAUGAUUGGGCGUAAAGCGUCUGUAGGUUGUUUAAAAAGUAUUCUGUCAAAGAUUAGGGCUUAACCCUAGAUAGGCAGAAUAAACUUUUAAGCUAGAGUUUGGUAGAGGCAGAGGGAAUUCCCGGUGGAGCGGUGAAAUGCGUAGAUAUCGGGAGGAACACCAAAGGCGAAGGCACUCUGCUGGGCCAAUACUAACACUGAGAGACGAAAGCGAGGGGAGCAAAUGGGAUUAGAUACCCUGGUAGUCC
rnacentral:rRNA from 1 species